rnacentral:rRNA from 1 species
UAAUACGUAGGGUGCAAGCGUUGUUCGGAAUCAUUGGGCGUAAAGCGAGUGUAGGCGGUUAAUUAAGUCGGAUGUGAAAUCCCUGGGCUCAACCUAGGAAGUGCAUUCGAAACUGAUUAGCUAGAAGAUGGUAGAGGAAGGUGGAAUUCCUAGUGUAGAGGUGAAAUUCGUAGAUAUUAGGAGGAAUACCUGAGGCGAAGGCGGCCUUCUGGGCCAUUCUUGACGCUGAGACUCGAAAGCGUGGGUAGCAAACAGG